rnacentral:misc_RNA from 1 species
GGCGAUUCCAGGAAAAGAGCAACAAGCCGCUGGAUAUGGCAUACUUCUGCAGAUCAUGAUGCUUGUACUCUCCUUUGUUAUUGGACAUGUGCUUCGUCGUCGUCAUUUCUAUUAUAUUCCUGAAGCCAGUGCCUCUCUAUUGAUUGGUUUGAUUGUUGGUGGAUUGGCUAAUGUUUCAGAUACAGAAACCAGCAUUAGGGCAUGGUUUAACUUCCAUGAAGAGUUUUUCUUCCUCUUUUUACUGCCACCGAUCAUAUUUCAGUCAGGAUUUAGUCUAUCACCUAAACCAUUCUUUUCAAACUUUGGAGCAAUUAUCACUUUUGCUAUUCUAGGAACUUUCAUUGCUUCUUUUGUUACUGGCAUUCUGGUUUACCUUGGUGGAGUUACGUAUCUCAUGUACAGACUUCCAUUUGUAGAGUGUCUAAUGUUUGGAGCUCUUAUAUCGGCAACUGAUCCUGUCACUGUUCUGUCUAUUUUUCAGGAGCUUGGCACAGACGUGAACCUAUAUGCUUUAGUGUUUGGGGAAUCUGUUUUAAAUGAUGCAAUGGCAAUUUCCUUGUACAGGACAAUGUCACUGGUCAGAAGCCACAUGUCAACUGAUCAGAAUUACUUCAUGAUAACCAUCCGAUUUGUCGAAACAUUUAUGGGAUCCCUGUCAGCUGGUGUUGGAGUUGGAUUUGUUUCUGCUUUGCUUUUCAAAUAUGCUGGCUUGGAUAUUGACAAUCUUCAGAACUUGGAGAGCUGUUUAUUUGUUCUCUUUCCAUAUUUCUCAUAUAUGCUAGCAGAAGGACUUGGUCUCUCUGGCAUAGUGUCUAUAUUGUUCACUGGAGUCGUUAUGAAGCGCUAUACGUACCCGAAUUUAUCAGAAAGUUCACAGCGAUUUGUGUCGGCGUUUUUUCAUUUGAUAUCAUCUUUGGCUGAAACUUUUGUAUUUAUAUAUAUGGGAUUUGAUAUCGCGAUGGAGAAACAUAGUUGGUCCCAUGUGGGAUUUAUCUUCUUCUCAAUUCUGUUCAUUGUGAUUGCGAGGGCUGCUAAUGUGUUUGGUUGUGCAUAUUUGGUCAAUCUUGUACGACCUCCACACCAAAAGAUACCAGCAAAACAUCAAAAAGCACUCUGGUACAGUGGACUUCGAGGCGCUAUGGCUUUUGCCCUUGCUU